rnacentral:rRNA from 1 species
UACGGAGGGUGCAAGCGUUAUCCGGAUUCACUGGGUUUAAAGGGUGCGUAGGUGGGCAGGUAAGUCAGUGGUGAAAUCUCCGGGCUUAACUCGGAAACUGCCAUUGAUACUAUCUUUCUUGAAUACCGUGGAGGUCAGCGGAAUAUGUCAUGUAGCGGUGAAAUGCUUAGAUAUGACAUAGAGCACCAAUUGCGAAGGCAGCUGGCUACACGAAUAUUGACACUGAUGCACGAAAGCGUGGGGAUCAAACAGG